rnacentral:ncRNA from 1 species
GACUCAUAUCAUAGAUGAUGUGAUUGAAAGAUAGUUGAAAAAUUUGCUUAAUCUAGUCGAGUGAAUGUUAAAUUCAUUCGUAUCCAUUACCUUAAUUCGAAAGGAGUGAAGUUAUGAUGGCAGCAGAUAUCAUUUCUACAAUCGGUGAUUUAGUAAAAUGGAUUAUCGAUACAGUUAAUAAAUUCAAAAAAUAAUUUUUGAAUGAGUCUAUUGUAACUUUUGUAACUUUGUUUUCUUCGUAUAAUUAAUACUAUUAGUGAGUUGUUGAGCCAUCCCAACUUAAUAAUUUACUAAUAUAAACUAAGCAAGUGAGAAGCAUUUGCUAGUAACUGUAGUUUCCUUGGACUCAGUGUUACGUAUUAUUCUUAGCUACCUUAAAUAGGUAAUUAUUUCUAGCAUGUAAGCUAUCGUAAACAACAUUCAAUUUAUCAUGUUAAAUAGAUAAAUUCACUAAAAUUUUUUCAUAAUUAAUAACAUCCCCAAAAAAUAGAUUGAAAAAAUAACUGUAAAAACAUUCCCUUAAUAAUAAGUUAUCAAGCCGUGAGUCUCUCCCAAGCUCACGGC